UUGUAUUUUCCAAAAGCGGAGGAAAAGAAACCAACUGGGAUUACCUUAGUAACGGCGAGUGAAGCGGUAAAAGCUCAAAUUUGAAAUCUGGUACUUUCAGUGCCCGAGUUGUAAUUUGUAGAAUUUGUCUUUGAUUAGGUCCUUGUCUAUGUUCCUUGGAACAGGACGUCAUAGAGGGUGAGAAUCCCGUUUGGCGAGGAUACCUUUUCUCUGUAAGACUUUUUCGAAGAGUCGAGUUGUUUGGGAAUGCAGCUCAAAGUGGGUGGUAAAUUCCAUCUAAAGCUAAAUAUUGGCGAGAGACCGAUAGCGAACAAGUACAGUGAUGGAAAGAUGAAAAGAACUUUGAAAAGAGAGUGAAAAAGUACGUGAAAUUGUUGAAAGGGAAGGGCAUUUGAUCAGACAUGGUGUUUUUUGCAUGCACUCGCCUCUCGUGGGCUUGGGCCUCUCAAAAAUUUCACUGGGCCAACAUCAAUUCUGGCAGCAGGAUAAAUCAUUAAGAAUGUAGCUACUUCGGUAGUGUUAUAGCUUUUUGGAAUACUGUUAGCCGGGAUUGAGGACUGCGCUUCGGCAAGGAUGUUGGCAUAAUGGUUAAAUGCCGCCCGUCUUGACCAGGGACCA
rnacentral:rRNA from 1 species